GUCCUCGUAGCUCAGCUGGAUAGAGCAGUUGCCUCCUAAGCAACAGGCCGCGUGUUCAAAUCACGCCGAGGACA
rnacentral:tRNA from 1 species